AUGAACGCUAGCGGCAGGCUUAACACAUGCAAGUCGAGGGGUAGAAGCAGCUUGCUGCUUUGAGACCGCGCACGGGUGCGUAACGCGUAUGCAAUCUACCUUUUACAGAGGGAUAGCCCAGAGAAAUUUUGGAUUAAUACCUCAUAGUAUGUGAGAAUCGCAUGGUUUUUCACAUUAAAGUUCCAACGGUAAAAGAUGAGCAUGCGUCCCAUUAGCUAGAUGGUAAGGUAACGGCUUACCAUGGCGACGAUGGGUAGGGGUCCUGAGAGGGAGAUCCCCCACACUGGUACUGAGACACGGACCAGACUCCUACGGGAGGCAGCAGUGAGGAAUAUUGGACAAUGGGCGCAAGCCUGAUCCAGCCAUGCCGCGUGCAGGAUGACGGUCCUAUGGAUUGUAAACUGCUUUUGUACAGGAAGAAACACUCCCUCGUGAGGGAGCUUGACGGUACUGUAAGAAUAAGGAUCGGCUAACUCCGUG
rnacentral:rRNA from 1 species